UACGUAGGGGGCAAGCGUUGUCCGGAUUUACUGGGCGUAAAGCGCGUGCAGGCGGCCUUGCAAGUCGGACGUGAAAUCCCACGGCUCAACCGUGGAAGUGCAUUCGAAACUGCGAGGCUGGAGUCCUGGAGAGGAAAGUGGAAUACUCGGUGUAGAGGUGAAAUUCGUAGAUAUCGAGUGGAACACCGGUGGCGAAGGCGGCUUUCUGGACAGGUACUGACGCUGAGACGCGAAAGCGUGGGGAGCAAACAGG
rnacentral:rRNA from 1 species